ACAUGCUAGUCGAGCGAGUNGAUCCCGCAAGGGACAGUUCGAGCGGCGAACGGGUGAGUAACGCGUGGAUGACCUGCCCUCAAGUGGGGAACAACCAGGGGAAACUCUGGCUAAUACCGCAUACGACCGAAAGGUGAAAGCGGGGUCGCAAGAUCUCGCGCUGGAGGAGGGGUCCGCGUCCGAUUAGCUAGUUGGUGGGGUAAUGGCCUACCAAGGCGACGAUCGGUAGCCGGCCUGAGAGGGUGAUCGGCCACACUGGAACUGAGACACGGUCCAGACUCNUACGGGAGGCAGCAGUGGGGAAUUUUGCGCAAUGGGCUAACGCCUGACGCAGCAACGCCGCGUGGAGGAUGAAGGUCUUUGGAUUGUAAACUCCUGUCAGCAGGGAAAAAGGGACUGCGGCUAAUACCCGUGGAACUUGAUUGUACCUGCAGAGGAAGCCCCGGCUAACUCUGUGCCAGCAGCCGCGGUAAUACAGAGGGGGCAAGCGUUAUUCGGAAUUAUUGGGCGUAAAGGGCGCGUAGGCGGCUUAGCAAGUGGCGGGUGAAAUCCCUCGGCUUAACCGAGGAACUGCCUGCCAGACUGCUUGGCUUGAGACCGGGAGAGGUGAGUGGAAUUCCCAGUGUAGCGGUGAAAUGCGUAGAUAUUGGGAGGAACACCAGUGGCGAAGGCGGCUCACUGGACCGGUUCUGACGCUGAGGCGCGAAAGCGUGGGGGAGCAAACAGGAUUAGAUACCCUGGUAGUCCACGCCGUAAACGAUGAGUGCUUGGUGUAGCGGGUAUCGACCCCUGCUGUGCCGACGUCAACACAUUAAGCACUCCGCCUGGGGGGUACGGUCGCAAGACUGAAACUCAANGGAAUUGACGGGGGCCCGCACAAGCGGUGGANCAUGUGUUUAA
rnacentral:rRNA from 1 species